UUUUAUUAAAAGAAAAAGGGUGAAAAGAACAAAGUUUUGUCCAUCUUUGUUCAUCAUAGCUGAAAGUUAGAGAAGAGAAAGGAGAGGAGAAAGCUCUUGAGUAUUCGGUCAUUAGGAGGAGGAAAAUUGAAGGCUGUUCGUGUGUGGAUCUCGUCAACAUAUCGUCGCAAACAGGAAAUCCCCAACCAUAGUGGGCUUGGAGCUGUGAGGGAAUUCGGAGUGGCCACCCGUUCUGAAAGUUUGAUUUUCUUCUGGUGAACUGGACAUCCUUUUAUUUACGUUUGAAGUUUUUGGGCUUUUAAAUGUAAUAAGGCCACUUAGUUAUUUUUGAUGGUUUUAAUAUGUAUUACUAAGAUAGGUAAUACUUAUUUUAACUGUUGAAAUUGGAUAGCUUUAGGGCGCGUUUUCAAAAACAACAAUUGAUUUCAAAAUAACACGACAACAAGCAAAGCUUCCGCAAUAAAA